rnacentral:rRNA from 1 species
GAUGAACGCUAGCUACAGGCUUAACACAUGCAAGUCGAGGGGAAACGACAUCGAAAGCUUGCUUUUGAUGGGCGUCGACCGGCGCACGGGUGAGUAACGCGUAUCCAACCUGCCCACCACUUGGGGAUAACCUUGCGAAAGUAAGACUAAUACCCAAUGAUAUCUCUAGAAGACAUCUGAAAGAGAUUAAAGAUUUAUCGGUGAUGGAUGGGGAUGCGUCUGAUUAGCUUGUUGGCGGGGUAACGGCCCACCAAGGCAACGAUCAGUAGGGGUUCUGAGAGGACGGUCCCCCACAUUGGAACUGAGACACGGGCCAAACUCCUACGGGAGGCAGCAGUGAGGAAUAUUGGUCAAGGGACGAGAGUCUGAACCAGCCAAGUAGCGUGCAGGAAGACGGCCCUAUGGGUUGUAAACUGCUUUUAUAAGGGAAUAAAGUGAGUCUCGUGAGACUUUUUGCAUGUACCUUAUGAAUAAGGACCGGCUAAUUCCGUG